GGCUUCCAAUAUAAGCACACCCAUGAGUUCCAGUAUGCUCUCCAUAAUGGAUCCUCGAAUCGCAGUUCAAAUAAACUGCAGUGAGAUUAUGCGUGCAUACAUAAUGUGGGAAAUAAUUUCCUACUAACUUCUGUACCUUGCUCGAUAACACUCCCUUUCACAUUCGUACAAGGUUGUGGCACCCAGAGUACAUGCUCCAACCACAAUU
rnacentral:misc_RNA from 1 species